rnacentral:rRNA from 1 species
UGGGGAAUAUUGCACAAUGGGCGCAAGCCUGAUGCAGCCAUGCCGCGUGUAUGAAGAAGGCCUUCGGGUUGUAAAGUACUUUCAGCGGGGAGGAAGGUGUUGUGGUUAAUAACCACAGCAAUUGACGUUACCCGCCGAAGAAGCACCGGCUAACUCCGUGCCAGCAGCCGCGGUAAUACGGAGGGUGCAAGCGUUAAUCGGAAUUACUGGGCGUAAAGCGCACGCAGGCGGUCUGUCAAGUCGGAUGUGAAAUCCCCGGGCUCAACCUGGGAACUGCAUCCGAAACUGGCAGGCUUGAGUCUUGUAGAGGGGGGUAGAAUUCCAGGUGUAGCGGUGAAAUGCGUAGAGAUCUGGAGGAAUACCGGUGGCGAAGGCGGCCCCCUGGACAAAGACUGACGCUCAGGUGCGAAAGCGUGGGGAGCAAACA